rnacentral:rRNA from 1 species
GACGAACGCUGGCGGCGUGCUUAACACAUGCAAGUCGAGCGGUAAGGCCCUUUUCGGGGGUACACGAGCGGCGAACGGGUGAGUAACACGUGGGUGACCUGCCCUCAGCUCUGGGAUAAGCCCGGGAAACUGGGUCUAAUACCGGAUAUGACUUCAUGACGCAUGUUGUGGGAGUGGAAAGCCUUGUGCGGCUGAGGAUGGGCCCGCGGCCUAUCAGCUUGUUGGUGGGGUGANGGCCUACCAAGGCGACGACGGGUAGCCGGCCUGAGAGGGCGACCGGCCACAC